GACGAACGCUGGCGGCGUGCUUAACACAUGCAAGUCGAACGGAAAGGCCCUGCUUGCAGGGUACUCGAGUGGCGAACGGGUGAGUAACACGUGGGUGAUCUGCCCUGCACUUCGGGAUAAGCCUGGGAAACUGGGUCUAAUACCGGAUAGGAGCCAUUUUUAGUGUGAUGGUUGGAAAGUUUUUUCGGUGUAGGAUGAGCUCGCGGCCUAUCAGCUUGUUGGUGGGGUAAUGGCCUACCAAGGCGGCGACGGGUAGCCGGCCUGAGAGGGUGGACGGCCACAUUGGGACGGGGAUACGGCCCAGACUCCUACGGGAGGCAGCAGUGGGGAAUAUUGCACAAUGGGCGCAAGCCUGAUGCAGCGACGCCGCGUGGGGGAUGACGGCCUUCGGGUUGUAAACGCCUUUCGCUAGGGACGAAGCUUUUUGUGACGGUACCUUGAUAAGAAGCACCGGCUAACUACGUG
rnacentral:rRNA from 1 species